rnacentral:rRNA from 1 species
AGUGAACGCUGGCGGUAGGCCUAACACAUGCAAGUCGAACGGCAGCACAGUAAGAGCUUGCUCUUACGGGUGGCGAGUGGAGGACGGGUGAGGAAUACAUCGGAAUCUACUUUUUCGUGGGGGAUAACGUAGGGAAACUUACGCUAAUACCGCAUACGACCUACGGGUGAAAGCAGGGGAUCUUCGGACCUUGCGCGAUUGAAUGAGCCGAUGUCGGAUUAGCUAGUUGGCGGGGUAAAGGCCUACCAAGGCGACGAUCCGUAGCUGGUCUGAGAGGAUGAUCAGCCACACUGGAACUGAGACACGGUCCAGACUCCUACGGGAGGCAGCAGUGGGGAAUAUUGGACAAUGGGCGCAAGCCUGAUCCAGCCAUACCGCGUGGGUGAAGAAGGCUUUCGGGUUGUAAAGCCCUUUUGUUGGGAAAGAAAAGCAGCAGGUUAAUACCCCGCUGUUCUGACAGUACCCAAAGAAUAAGCACCGGCUAACUUCGUG